rnacentral:rRNA from 1 species
UACGUAGGGGGCGAGCGUUGUCCGGAUUUAUUGGGCGUAACGAGCUCGUAGGUGGUUUGGUAAGUCGGAUGUGAAAUCUCCAGGCUCAACCUGGAGGGGUCAUUCGAUACUGCCAUGACUAGAGUUCGGUAGGGGAGUGUGGAAUUCCUGGUGGAGCGGUGAAAUGCGCAGAUAUCAGGAGGAACACCCGUAGCGAAGGCGGCACUCUGGGCCGAUACUGACACUGAGGAGCGAAAGCGUGGGGAGCGAACAGG